rnacentral:rRNA from 1 species
GACGAACGCUGGCGGCGUGCUUAACACAUGCAAGUCGAACGAAGAGCGAUGGAAGCUUGCUUCUAUCAAUCUUAGUGGCGAACGGGUGAGUAACGCGUAAUCAACCUGCCCUUCAGAGGGGGACAACAGUUGGAAACGACUGCUAAUACCGCAUACGAUCUAAUCUCGGCAUCGAGGAUAGAUGAAAGGUGGCCUCUACAUGUAAGCUAUCACUGAAGGAGGGGAUUGCGUCUGAUUAGCUAGUUGGAGGGGUAACGGCCCACCAAGGCGAUGAUCAGUAGCCGGUCUGAGAGGAUGAACGGCCACAUUGGGACUGAGCCACGGCCCAGACUCCUACGGGAGGCAGCAGUGGGGAAUCUUCCGCAAUGGACGAAAGUCUGACGGAGCAACGCCGCGUGAGCGAUGACGGCCUUCGGGUUGUAAAGCUCUGUUAAUCGGGACGAAAGGCCUUCUUGCGAAUAGUGAGAAGGAUUGACGGUACCGGAAUAGAAAGCCACGGCUAACUACGUG